GACGAACGCUGGCGGCGUGCCUAAUACAUGCAAGUCGAGCGCAGGAAGCCGUCUGAACCCUUCGGGGGGACGACGGCGGAAUGAGCGGCGGACGGGUGAGUAACACGUAAAGAACCUGCCCAUAGGUCUGGGAUAACCACGAGAAAUCGGGGCUAAUACCGGAUGUGUCAUCGGACCGCAUGGUCCGCUGAUGAAAGGCGCUCCGGCGUCGCCCAUGGAUGGCUUUGCGGUGCAUUAGCUAGUUGGUGGGGUAACGGCCCACCAAGGCGACGAUGCAUAGCCGACCUGAGAGGGUGAUCGGCCACACUGGGACUGAGACACGGCCCAGACUCCUACGGGAGGCAGCAGUAGGGAAUCUUCCACAAUGGACGAAAGUCUGAUGGAGCAACACCGUGUGAACGAUGAAGGCUUUCGGGUCGUAAGUUCUGUUGUAAGGGAAGAACAAGUGCCGCAGGCAAUGGCGGCACCUUGACAGUACCUUGCGAGAAAGCCACGGCUAACUACGUGCCAGCAGCCGCCGUAA
rnacentral:rRNA from 1 species